GUCCGGUACAUUAGCCUGGUGCCAUGGCUCUAUCAUGUCCGGUACAUUAGCCUGGUGCCAUGGCUCUAUCAUGUCCGGUACAUUAGCCUGGUGCCAUGGCUCUAUCAUGUCCGGUACAUUAGUCAGGUGGCAUGGCUCUAUCAUGUCCGGUACAUUAGUCAGGUGGCAUGGCUCUAUCAUGUCCGGUACAUUAGCCUGGUGGCAUGGCUCUAUCAUGUCCGGUACAUUAGUCAGGUGGCAUGGCUCUAUCAUGUUCGGUACAUUAGCUUGGUGGCAUGGCUCUAUCAUGUCUGGUAUAUUAGCCUGGUGGCAUGACUCGAUCAUGGUAUACAUCGUGGCA